CUUGUCCUCAGGCACUCAAACUGGUUGGCCAGUGGCUGGCCAAGAAGUGAGGUACCAGAGGCAGGACACGUCCAGGAGUGGCCAGUGAAGAGCAAACCAUGCCCUUAGCCAGCUGUCUGCCUUUUCACUUCCUAGAGAUCUUGAAAACACAUUUUUGCCUGGUGGCAGGCAUCCAGACUUGAGCCUGAAGAUCUGGAACCAGGUAGAGGGGCAGAAGGAGGAACAUAGGGCUGGAGAGAUGGCUUAGCGGUUAAGAGCACUGACUGCUCUUCCAAAGGUCCUGAGUUCAAAUCCCAGCAACCACAUGGUGGCUCACAACCAUCCGUAAUGAAAUCUGUGAGGACAGCUACAGUGUACUUACAUAUAAUAAAUAAAUAAAUCUUAAAAAAAAAAGAAAAGAAAAGAAAAGGGAGGCCCAAGAGAUGCACAUUUCGUUCAGAAGGGGCAAAUAAUCCUUAGCGGCCUCUAGGUAGUCCCGCUCUGCGCUGCACGCUCUGGUGACGAAUGGUUCUGUGUGCUCUCACCCCUUAGCUGUGCUGACGUCAGUUCCUUGGCCAGCAGAGUGGAGGCAGACCUUGGAGAUGUAGUAUCCAAAUUAAGAUGCUACCUUCCUACAGUAUUGUGACAUCUGCCAAGGAAACAGGAGGGAGAGUCAAAGGUCAAAGCACACUUCCUUCUGAACAAAUUUCCUUAACAAGACAGAAUCUAAAAGGGAGUAGGGCCCCUCUAUAUAAGCUUGUUUAGCCUGGAAACUCACCUCGUAGCCCAGGCUGGUCUCAAACUCGGAUUGAUUGGUAUUACUCAGAUUAAAGGCAUGCCACAGUCUUA
rnacentral:lncRNA from 1 species